UGGGGAAUUUUGCGCAAUGGACGAAAGUCUGACGCAGCGACGCCGCGUGUGCGAUGAAGGCCUUUGGGUCGUAAAGCACUGUCGACCGGGACGAAAACUCACGGACUAAUACUUCGUGAGUCUGACGGUACUGGUAAAGGAAGCACCGGCUAACUCUGUGCCAGCAGCCGCGGUAAUACAGAGGGUGCAAACGUUGCUCGGAAUUAUUGGGCGUAAAGCGCGUGUAGGCGGCUUGUUAAGUUGGUUGUGAAAACCCAUGGCUCAACCAUGGAAGUGCGUCCAAAACUGGCAAGCUAGAGUUCUGACGAGGAUGGCGGAAUUCCCAGUGUAGAGGUGAAAUUCGUAGAUAUUGGGAGGAACACCGGUGGCGAAGGCGGCCAUCUGGGAAGAUACUGACGCUGAGGUGCGAAAGCGUGGGGAGCAAACAGGAUUAGAUACCCUUGUAGUCCCUGAGCGGGCUGGCAAGGCGCAU
rnacentral:rRNA from 1 species